AAAGAAGGUUGGUACUAUAUAUGAUCGGAAAUAGGGUUCGAUUGUCUCUACCCUGACACCUUAAAUGUCGGGACUAUGGUACGUAAUA
rnacentral:ncRNA from 1 species